rnacentral:rRNA from 1 species
UACGGAGGGUGCAAGCGUUAUCCGGAUUCACUGGGUUUAAAGGGCGCGUAGGCGGUCAGCACAAGUCAGUUGUGAAAUCUCCGGGCUUAACUCGGAAAGGUCAACUGAUACUGUGCGACUAGAGUGCGGAAGGGGCAACUGGAAUUCUUGGUGUAGCGGUGAAAUGCGUAGAUAUCAAGAGGAACACCUGCGGCGAAGGCGGGUUGCUGGGCCGACACUGACGCUGAGGCGCGAAAGCCAGGGGAGCGAACGGG